rnacentral:rRNA from 1 species
GAGGGGAUUAGUGGCGAACGGGUGAGUAACACGUGGGCAAUCUGCCCUGCACUCUGGGACAAGCCCUGGAAACGGGGUCUAAUACCGGAUACGACCACUGAGGGCAUCCUCGGUGGUGGAAAGCUCCGGCGGUGCAGGAUGAGCCCGCGGCCUAUCAGCUUGUUGGUGGGGUGAUGGCCUACCAAGGCGACGACGGGUAGCCGGCCUGAGAGGGCGACCGGCCACACUGGGACUGAGACACGGCCCAGACUCCUACGGGAGGCAGCAGUGGGGAAUAUUGCACAAUGGGCGAAAGCCUGAUGCAGCGACGCCGCGUGAGGGAUGACGGCCUUCGGGUUGUAAACCUCUUUCAGCAGGGAAGAAGCGAAAGUGACGGUACCUGCAGAAGAAGCGCCGGCUAACUACGUGCCAGCAGCCGCGGUAAUACGUAGGGCGCGAGCGUUGUCCGGAAUUAUUGGGCGUAAAGAGCUCGUAGGCGGCUUGUCACGUCGGUUGUGAAAGCCCGGGGCUUAACCCCGGGUCUGCAGUCGAUACGGGCAGGCUAGAGUUCGGUAGGGGAGAUCGGAAUUCCUGGUGUAGCGGUGAAAUGCGCAGAUAUCAGGAGGAACAC